rnacentral:tRNA from 1 species
GAUCGAGGUAGCUCAGAGGGGGAUGACGAACCAGGGCCCGGUGAAGUCCCCCGCGGUAGAGCAACGGUUAGUCCCGUGUGUCGGUGGUUCGAAUCCAUCCCUCAUCACCA